rnacentral:rRNA from 1 species
AUUGAACGCUGGCGGCAGGCCUAACACAUGCAAGUCGAGCGGUAGAGAGGUGCUUGCAUCUCUUGAGAGCGGCGGACGGGUGAGUAAUGCCUAGGAAUCUGCCUAGUGGUGGGGGAUAACGUUCGGAAACGGACGCUAAUACCGCAUACGUCCUACGGGAGAAAGCGGGGGAUCUUCGGACCUCGCGCCAUUAGAUGAGCCUAGGUCGGAUUAGCUAGUUGGUGAGGUAAUGGCUCACCAAGGCGACGAUCCGUAACUGGUCUGAGAGGAUGAUCAGUCACACUGGAACUGAGACACGGUCCAGACUCCUACGGGAGGCAGCAGUGGGGAAUAUUGGACAAUAGGGCGAAAGGACCUGAUCCAGCCAUGCCGCGUGUGUGAAGAAGGUCUUCGGAUUGUAAAGCACUUUAAGUU